ACAAUGUCAGACAAAGGUAAUAUCCAAUUAUGAGACCAAACCGACUUCAGGACAGAAAGAAAAACCCACAACACAGAGGGGUGGAAGACACUUUCAGUUUCAUAUAAAAUGAAAUUCCAGAGCAGGUUAUGUCUGAUAACUCAAGAUCAAAACACAUUCUCCCAUUGCGUUCUCCUCUGAUCAAUUCAAUUUUCCUUCACUCUGUGCCACCUCAUUAUUAUUGAGUCAUGUUACUUACAAAAGAUUUAGCUUCAUCACAAGGGUGAAAAGCAGCCAAACUUCCCAUCUGCAACAAUCCCAGCUCAGCAGGAAAAAGCCCAGAAGUAGCAUUGCCAAGAGAUGGAAGCACAGAAUGACUACUCUGUGUUUGGGAUCCAUUCAAAUUCCCCCUCCAGGUCUUUACAAUUUCACAUGUAGCCCAAUGGCUUUGAUUUAGGGUCAAAGUGUGAUAUCUAAGCACAGUGAGCAUGCAGAACAUGGCAUCACGUGACACACUGAGAGGUGCAGGGGUAGAACAUGGGGAGGAUAAACGCUAUUGUGGCUUACACAGAAGCUAAUGCUGCUGGGGCGAGGGGGGAGUGUCAUAGUGAUGGGGAAGGAGGGAAUCCCUUUGACUCACCCCAUCUCCUUCGGGUAUCACAGAGGCUGAAAUGACACAUUUUUCCUACUCCACUUUGUUCUAUUUCAAUCUAUUAUACAUGAAGAAAAUGGAAGGAAAAAUAUUUCUUCCUGCAAAACCCCAAGCAAGGUGAGAAAAUCUGUCCUCAGAGGGGAACUCGAUGACUAAGAAUCACUUUGUAAUGGGGGAAUGGUAUCAACGUGAUGCUCGUGUUUGUCUAGACUAGGAAAGAAGAUGGAGGUGAGGUCGGCCAAGCUAACCCCAGCCACUGUACCCGGGUUAUAUCUGCACUGCAAAUGUAGUUGUGUUAUUACAACAAGAUCUCUAAACCGAGCCGCUACAUCCAUGUAGAAUCCCCGUGGAGACAAGGCACAGGCCGUUUUUACAUCAAUGUUGCUAGUCAAGAUCAACCCUAUCUCCUGCAUGUGGUGCUGAUGGAUGUUUCUGUCGGGCGAAGGACACGCUCCCAGGACUUGAUAAAGGAUGACGGGAUUCACCCCAAAGAAGGAGGAGGUGCAAAAGACAGAGGCAGGCAACUAAAAGAUCACACUGAAGAAAAUGGUACAAACUAGGUAGGAAUUCACUAAUGUAUUUUACAAAAAAUCUUUGGCCAGCCCUAGUCAAGGCAUUUAUGGCAGCGGUUCUUAACUGGGGAUCCAGGGGCUCCUGGGAUUCUGCGAGCCUUUUCAGGGAGUCUGUGGGGCCCCAUAGCUGAAACCCCAAGUCCCAGCGCUCGACCACGGGGCUGAAACCAGGAGCGGUGUGGGGCCAAAGCCCUAUCCCUAGCACCCCCCACAGGGCUGAAGCCAGAGGUGACAGGAGGCUGAAACCCCAAGGAUAGGCACUGACUCUGUGGGUGCUCCGGGGCUGGAGCACCCACCAGGAGCUCCCAGGAGCCCUGCCCCCCUGCUCCAGCUCACCUGUGCUUCCGCCUCCUCCGCAAGCACGCGGCUGCGUCCUGCUCCUCCCCACUCCCUCCUAGUGCUUGCGCCAUGGAACAG